ensembl:lncRNA
AGAAAUGCCAGCGCUCCUCCGUCGCAGAGCAGACUUGCAGGCACACGAAUUACCCAUGCAACUCACCAACAUGUGUGCAGGGAAAGUGAAGCCAGCAGAAUGACUGCAGGAACCCAUCCAACUAAUAAGAAGCUUAUAACUCUUUGGCAAUUUGUUUGGCUCGGGAGUUACUGCAAAGUCAGAAAGGUGUUCAGCGUUGAGUUUUUCAGGCCAAAGACUUCUGGAAAAAGUCACAUUAAU